CCUCCCUUUCCUCCUCACGUCAUCCUCCUGCACCUCACACACACCUACACCUACACACGCACACACACUCAUACACUCACCCACCCUUCCUCUUCCUUCCCAUAACACGCACUUACCCAGACACCUACACACACACACGCACACGCACACACAUGCAUGUAUACACGUCUAAACCCACCCACCCACACACGUAUACAGUCGACGCUGCGCUCGAGUCUUGAAGCUUUCAGUGAGCGAUAAGGAGGAAGGAAAGCGCGAUGUGGCCUCGAUAGAAAGAGCGGCGGCGGCGUGUCCUGAGGUGAACUUUUGGCAGGCAACGACGGCCGUCCACGGCCUCCGCACACCUGACUAAGCCGGGGGUCACGUGCACAUUAUGUUCGGCUUCUUUAAAACCAAAAGCAAGGACAAAGUUGUCAACAAGGAAAAGAACAGUGACAGUGCUAAGGACAAAAAGAAAGACAAGACAAACAAAGAGGAGGCUAAGGUCAAUGUUCGUAAGGGCAAGGAAGACAAGGCCUCGAGAUCGUUGUUCCGAAAGAGUAAGUCCAUCGAGCGAGCGAAGGAAGGGAACGAGAACGCCAGGAAGAGUCAGAGCCUCGACUCACAAGGCUCAGGAGACUGGAGCGACCAUGAACAGUCAUCGCGGCAGGACAGCGGCCCCGUCGAGAGCGAAGAGGUUGCUUCGUCCCCUGGACCGGCCGGCAACAGCAGCAGCUCCGAGGACGCGGCUCGUCCUACCUCACCUUGCCGCCUUGAGGUCGCUGACAGUCGUUCCCGGGAUGACCUUAAAUCAUCAGACUCUACCGAGUCAUCUGGUUUUAAAGAUUCAUUAACAUCGUCUCAAGAAGGAGAGUUGCAUACAGAAUCUGAAGCUGUCGAGGAACGGAAGCAUGAUAAAAAGUAUCCGCUUGGAGUUCAGUCAACUGCAGCACUGUCGAAGGCUGGCCUGCAAGACCCGAGGAACGGAGAAGACUUGUCGUUAAGGAGAAACACUCAGCCUUAUACGGGUAGAGGCAGAUCCCGUGGUUCAGAAAGUCCCACCACGCUAAUGAUGAAGCCACCACUAAACCCACGAAUUGUGGCCCCGCGGGGACCUUUGGCAACCACAACCACCAUCACUUCCUUCCAUGCUUCGUCGACGGAACCAAGCGGCGAGAGGGACGAGAGUCGCCUCACGCCCUCCCCCGGCAUGGUGACGCCGCCCGCCUCGCCGGGCCUGUUCUCGCAAAUGAUUUCGACACACCAAAAUGUCAAUAACUUGCCUUCACGACCCACGUCUCCCGACGGCCGAACCUCAAUGCUUUCCACUCCCUCCAGCUCCACUUCCAGCCUCUCCAGCCUCACAGCUCGUCCGAUAUCUCCCUCUGGACGACGCACUCCCCCGGGGCCCCGAAUGGGCACUGGCGGCAAACUUACGUCCUCGCCAACUGCUGGACGGAAGCCCGUGAGAACAAACAUCAAAACAAAUCCGUCGAUGGGGUCACGCAGAGCGGGUUCUCACUCUCCCAUUAACUCUCCACCCUCUCCGGGGGGCGCAGUCACCUAUGCUGACGCUGACAACAUCAAGACUCCGCCAUCCUCGCCGCUCCCCUUGAGGCACGUGUUGCCGGAGCAGGCGCCGCCACCAGGUCCCUGCGAUGCCAACGUUUGGAUGCGGCCCACGACAUAUUACACGUCAAAGUUGGCGACGUUUUCUCCACCAAUCACUCGCAGGGAAAUCGAUCCACCGACGAGCCCUUCUUCAGGCAGAGCCACGGCAUCCUCACCACCAGGAAAGCUUGCACUAGGCUGCUCCUCACCGCCGCCACCCAGACUCAGUACAUCAGCCGAGGUGAAGCCUGAAGGAGGCAGCAGUCCUGGUUCCCAGCGCAGCGUCUCACCCACUGUCGGAAAGGCCCGCCACUCCAUAUCGUCGAUGCACUCCCUAGAGUCAAUCCCCGAAAACGACAGCGACGGGCAGUCACCCGUUGCCAGCGAAAAAACCCUCGAUGGGAGUUGUAAGCCGAGUCGUGCGCUGCCCAGCAACAGGCCCAACAGCACGCCCAGCAGCCCAAAGGAACAGCAGCAGACUAACGUCACCGCCACGCGACCAACGCGCCACUCCGCCCCGGAGGUCACGUGUGAGCGGCAGCAUAGUCACAGCACCACUCACAGACGGUCUUCCUCGCUGACACCAGUGAAUGAAGAAAGAAAGAUUCACUUCUCCGUGUCAAUCAGUGAAACGAAGACAACGCCUGGAGAUGAGAUGCAUUCCAAAGGCCUGAAUGCUGAAGCUGGAAAAGCAGCGGAAGAAAACUCUUCUUCAAAAAGAGACCGAUCGGAAAACCCUCACGAUAUAAGUAACAGAAAGAAGACUAUGGGAUCCCCUAAAGAACCUACCAAUCCGGACUCAAAGGAAGUAAUAAGAAAGGAAAAGGUCCCAUUAGUCCCUCCAGUGGCAGCUUAUGUAAAAGCGCCAGGAGGAAUGGCCGUGUCCAAACAGGCAGACGCUGGGUCACUGGCGGUCACUGUGGCCAAGAAGGAGGUCAUAUCUCAGGGAAACGAUACUAAAGAAAUUUACAAGAAAAACUCUGCUGCACUCAGUGAAAAGAACAAGCCUUCUGCAGUGAGAGAUGAUGGUAAAGAAAGCGAGGAAGCAACCCAUGUAGUGUUCCGAAUACCGCUGCGACGCAGUUCUCUCGCCAACGGAGAAGAGGCGGAAAAAAGGUCAUCUGUUGAAAUUUUGUCCCGUGAGGCUGGGCGGUCGAAGCGGCGGGAGAGAGAACAUUGCAAGGAGAGACCAAGAUCUGUAUCGACCUCUAGGGAGCUGAGGAGGGAGAGGACUUCCGACAGGCUGCCAAGAAGACGGAUGCCAUCUGAGGGCAACGAAAGCAGGAACGAGCUUGCGACCAACCCAGAGAAUGAGGGGAAGAAAGGAGUGACGGAGAGGGUCCGGUCUCGCUCCUCUUCCUCUCGCCGUACUAAGGGUCUUUCUCCGGACCAAACGGGCGUUGAGACUCCCCUUGUAGCCAACGGAAACGAGAGUUACGAUGGAGAGGACGAGGAAGUCGUCAUUCCAUGGAGAAGGGCUCCGAGAAGCAGGUCGCUGGUGUCAAGAGUGGAUGGCUCAAGUGACGCGGCCAGAUCUGAUGAGCCACCGACCAACACUCAAGGACAGGCAGCGAGUGGGGGAGGGGCGAUGGAAGGACCAAAUAAAAAGUCAGAAGGUUGUGAAGACAAUAGCCCCUCGCUCGUUACUGCCCCGCUGAGGCAGAGAUCCAAGUCUCGUGGACCUGAGCGAAGGAUGACCAGGUCCGUGACGCUGAGUGAAAUAAAGCGAGCUGGAGAGGGCAUGGCUGUGGCCUCGGAGCAGAAGCCUCAGCGACGGUCCAGAUCCUCCUCCAGGCUGCAAGAAGGAUCACGUUCUCACGGCGGCAUGCGUGAAAGCGUUAAGCCAGUAGCGGAGGGAGACGACGCCAAAGCUCACGCGUCACCAAGGAGGAAACUCUCCACUAAACGGAGUGUGAGUCGGACGCGAAAAGAGGGCGAGGAAGGUGCGAGGCGGCUGGCGGGAGACGCAGCAAACUCAACCAAAGGGACUGACUACAGAUCAAAAGGGACCAAGAGCAAGGACUCGCAAAACUCAGGUAACUUAGAAAAUGCGCAUAACAAAACAAACCGCGAAAACGAUACAGCAAACGAGAUAAAAGACACAGAAAAGAGCAUCACAGGCAAUAAAGGGUUGAGCGAACUUACCGUGGAAAGCAACAGUGUGGAGACUCAGACAGCGACGGCAGAGACCAAGUGUGUGGAGCUUCAGACCGAGGCGGCGGAGACCAACUCGAAGCUCUGCCAGACGGAGGAGGACCUUGAGCCUCGAGUAAGCCAACGAGACCUGAAAGAGCACACCAGGAAGGAACUCGGGGCGCAGGAGGAACGCUACCAGAAACAAAUCGACGAACUGACGCUGUCGCUGGCGGCGAAGCAGGAGGAGGUGACCCAGCUCGCACAGACGCUGGAGACGCUCAAGGGCGCCCAGGAAACUCUCAACAACUCGGAGGAGCUGCAGGAGAAACUGUCGCUCCUUCAGCAGGAUGUGAGGGACAGGAACGCCCAGCUCGACUGCGCUCGGACGGAGUUGGAGACCUCCAAGGAGGAGAUGGAGUUGACAAAGGCCAAGCUCAAGAAGUUGGAGGAGGACCUUGACUCCGCCCGCCAGAAGAACCUCUCCCUCCAGAACCAGAUCACCGCCUCGGCCAACUGCGACAAGACGGAGGAGCUUGAGACGAAGAUUAAAAGUUUAGAAGAGAAGUUGAAGGCCACAGAAGAGGAGCGGGACAAACUCACGAAGACCAUCGACGAAACGGAGGCCGAGCGAGAUGAAGAAAUCAAGAUCAUUCAAGACGCGCUGGACGAGGCGGCGCAAGAGAGGGAGGACCUAAUCGCCACGUUCGAGAAGGAGAUUCAGAACAUGACGACGAUGAACUCAACGCGAGAACAGCAGCUCAUGGAAGACUUUGAGUGGAAACUUCGUGAGAUGGAGAAGGACCACAAGAAGAAGAUGGAGGAGCGCGACAGGAAGGCAGAGGAGAGGAUUAGUGCGGUGAGAAACAUGGUGGAGUCGGAGCUGGCGGACUCCCUCAUUAAGGUGGCGGAGGACAGGCGCGUGGCGGACGAGCAGCUGAUGGAGGUCGGCCAUCUAAAGAGCUACGAAGCCGAGGCCAUCCAGCUGCGCGGCGUCACCCACGAGCUGCAGAAGGCGCUGAGGGCGUCGGCGAGAGAAAUGGAACACCUCAAAGUACGCGAGAAAAUACUUGAGGAGGAAAUACGAGGCCUCAAGAAAGCCCCUCCGCCCUGCCGCCAGAGCACCCUUCAGCGGGCCAAGCGUCAGGCCGAGGAGACGGAGGCUGAGUUCCGACAGAAGCAGGAGAAGAUGAAGAACGAGCUGAACGCGGAGUGGGAGGACAAACUGAGGUCGGAAUGUUCGCGGCUCAAGGCGGAACUGGACGAGCUGCAUGGCGAGGAGAAACACCUGGCCGUGGAGUCUAUGAAGGUACAGAAGGAACAGGAGGUCAGGAAGCUCAGGCAGUCCUGGGAACAACGCCAAGAGGAGAUGACCAAAGAGAUCUCAACUCUCAAGGACAGUCUGACGGAGAAGGACGCGUACUACCACAAGGAGAUGGAGAACAUGAGGACCAACGCGGACAGGGACGUGUGGGAGCUGCGACGCAAACUGCAGCGCCUCGACGAGAAGAACUGGUCGCAACAGGAGCUGCUGCAGGAAAAGCACCAUGAGGAGCUCGAGCGUAUACGGGCGGAGUACAAGGAGCGCUCGUCAGACCUCGAGGCUCGGCUGGCCGUGGCGCUGCAGAACUCAGACGAGGAGGGGCGCCAUCAGGCCGAGAAGCAGCACAACGAGGAGAUGGAGCACCUGUGUGAGCAGCACAGACUCAGCAUGGAACGGUUGCGCGAGGAACUUGAGGCAGAGAAAUUCCAGGCGGUGGAGGAGGCGCGGGUCAUCGUGACAAAACAUCAUGAGUACCUGAACGCGGGGCUCCAGGAACAGCUGACAGAGGCCAUCACGAGCAGUACACAGUGCAAGGAGGAGCUGGAGGCCGUGAAAUCCGCUCUGGCGCUACGAGAGGAGGUCAUCAAAUCCCUAAACGAGGAACUGGCGAGGCUGAAGGAAUCCGAAGGAGGAGUCCCCGCCGCAUCCUACAUGGACUCCCAGAGCUCCAUCGCGUCCUCCAGCGAGUCCACGUGCUCCCAGGGCUCCAACAACUCCCAGGACAGACUCAGCCUCUCGGAGUCCGUCGGAGCCUCCAUAGACGGGCAAGAUGAGGCGCAUAAGUCCGGCGGCAGCGGCCUCCUGGGCAAGAUGUUUGGAGGCAACUGGUUCAGCAGCAACAAGACCAAGGAAAACAGCAGGCGGGGGAGUGCCCCUGGCAAGCAGUCCUCGUGAACCCCCGCUCAAGGCACCGUGGGCUCUGUGCCUCACCCCGCGGGGCCCCAGACCACAUAACUCACUUCUCGGCUCAGCUGCUGAGGGUGGCGUUACGCUCAUCAAGGCGACUCGCUCCUCCUUGUCCUGACUUGCCCCGCCCCGCCCAAGCCGAACCGCCUCGUCUCGCCCCAUUCCAGCGGCAGAGGCUGUGGCAGGAGGCCAGGGGAAGGGGCAAGGGAGGGUGCACUUCACCACGACUCAUCCACCGACGUCACGAAGAUGUCUUCAUCAGCAUUACGUAGAUUAAUUACCAUUUCACACUUAUAGCUAUAAAUGAAUAUAUUUUACUGCUAUAUUACCCUUGUUCCCUUCAGCGUUUGGAGGAAUUCUUAUAAAGUUUAAGUUAUUUCUCAUAGAGAGUAUAAGUUGUUCUGUAGAUUCCUAGACCACAGGCGGCCUCAGUGUGUAGAGUGAUCCAGCUUAGGUCAGUCCGGCUCAGUGGCUCCUCGAGUUCUCGCCUUCACUACAGGGCCCCGACGAGGAUAGAAAGUUCAAGGAAUUCUCCAAAAAGCACUGCCAGUAACCCAUUUAAGAAAAGGCACCAUUAAUACAUUGUCAUCAGAAAAAAAAAGUUCCUGAGGCCCAUUUACAGAGUACUCAGUAUUUUGAAAAAUACUUCAGUCAUGUCCAAGGAAGGCUGUCUUUGUGUACUGGCGAGGAGGUGAUGCGACAAUACUCCUCCAGCUUUGUGUAGAGAAGCGACGGGAGGGAGGGAGGAGAGGGUUGCGGAGCUGCCUCGCCCCAGUACGGCGCGUUUACCUUGAGCAACGUGCCGAGACGCAAUGCACCGCGGAGUCUAGCACACGCCCUUGUAAGCCAAUCAGCUCGUCACAGAGAAGUGAAGUUUCUCCGUUCCAGAAAGAACUGAUGGGAAACGGCGACUUAUUCUUCCUUUCUUUUGAACGUCUACAAGAGAUUCUUUGAGACAAAGGGAGUCAAACCAAGCAAGCACUGAGUCGAUAAAGCCGCACCAGCACGACGCUGCAGCUGUUGGUGAGGGUCGUUGUGUCUAGCCGGUGUGGGGAGAGUCUCCGCCGCCCGCCAGUGUCACCUCCGCGUUAUCAGCGACGCCUUCAACGGCGCCUUUGAGACCUAUUGGUCUCCUCAAUUUCACUCCGAGAACCCCAGUAGUGGCAGCCUUCGUUUUUCACAUUGUUAUUAUGUGUUUGCUUUUGGUGGUUCUUCUAAAAGUGUGUUUUGAAUAAACUAAACAGAAGGGGAAGAAUUAAAUUAGCAGACGCGAACACAGGCUAUAGCAGAAAAAGAGCUCAGCCGGGCUAACAGUGGGGGCAGAACAAGAGGAGGCAGCACUGCAUAGGUGUGUAUUAGUGGCGAAGAAAGGGAGCGGACGUACAUAUGUUUCCCUGUUUUUAUACACUACUAACUGUAUAGCUGCAUAAUUAUAUAGUAAUCAUUUUUUACUUAGUAAUUUAAAAAGAUGAAAGUUAUAUUAUACGUUUUCUUUAUUAUUACUGCUAUACCUUUUGUCAAAUUAACAAUGGUUGAGUUCCUUGUCAAACUUUUCGGUCUUUUAUUCGCUUGUAGUAAAAUGCGAGGGAUUCCGAGAGCUGUAGAGAAACAAUGUAUUAAUAAACAACUUCUAGGAUGUUCUGACAAGACACAGAGAAUGGCUCCCACGCCGUCUAGUCAGGUGACGCAGAUAGGCAUUACUUGGGACGUACCGCGGACAUGUUGUCAAGCAUUUCCUAGGAUGAAGAGAGGUACUGUAUAUGAUCAGUCUAAGAUAUAGAUAGAGCCUUUGCCUGAGAACCUUAACCAAUUGUAUGAGUGGAUGUUCUUCAAUGUGCAGCGGGCAUUCAGACUGCUGCUAAGAAUAUAUAUUCCGUAUGCUCACUUCAGUUUGUAUUCUGAAGGCCGCUAAGAGGAGGUAUUCCCAAAAAAUCGAGGCAGUUCCAGAAAUAUGUGAUUUUUUCGUA